ensembl:lncRNA
AUGCAAGACAAAAGUGGAGUAAUUGAGUUCAAGGUGAAGAAGUGUGGCCUUCAACUUUGCAAGCGAGAGCUUCACUGUGUGGUGAUUAGAUGUUUGAACAUUUUAACCACACCGAAGAAAGAAAAUUACAUGGCUUUCGGCAACAUGGUGGUGAGUAAGUGAUGACAUAAUUUGACAUUUUUGGGUGAAAUAUUUUCUUUAAUAAAAAUAAAUAAUGCAUACACUAAAGUUGACUUUGAACUGUUGUAUUCCUUGGGGGAAUGCUUUUCAUUUUCUCACAAUAAAUUCUUUAGAAUUCUCACCCUAAAUACUUUCGCACUUCCACUGAAUCGCAUAAAUGAUACAAGACUCCAUGCAGGUUUUAUUCUGUGGGGCUGUGUUUCAUAAGAGAAGCUUGGCUGUAUGUGAGAGACACCCAGCAGAGAACAGAAGAACAGCCAGAGCACC